UGUGCUCGGCCUGUUUGCACUUCGAUUUGACACAAACCAAAACAUUG
rnacentral:sRNA from 1 species